rnacentral:rRNA from 1 species
AUUGAACGCUGGCGGCAGGCCUAACACAUGCAAGUCGAACGGAAGCACGAAACACUUUGCUGUUUCGCUGUCGCGUGGGGCGGGGGAGUGACAUGUCGGUGAAACUCCUUUAUGGCGGGGGUUAACUCGUGGAAACGGUACCAAAAACCGCAUAUCGUCGCAACCGCAUAGUGCAGGAGCUACGGGCCUCUUGCCAUCAGCUGUGACCAGAUGGGAUUAGCUAGUAGGUGGGGUAACGGCUCACCAAGGCGACGAUCCCUAGCUGGUCUGAGAGGAUGAUCAGCCACACUGGAACUGAGACACGGUCCAGACUCCUACGGGAGGCAGCAGUGGGGAAUAUUGCACAAUGGGCGAAAGCCUGAUGCAGCCAUGCCGCGUGAGUGAAGAAGGCCUUCGGGUUGUAAAGCUCUGUUAGCGGGGAAGAAGAGAUGAAAGUUAAUACCUUGACUUAUUGACGGUACCCAAAGAAGAAGCACCGGCUAACUCCGUG